AGUGGGGAAUAUUGGACAAUGGGGGCAACCCUGAUCCAGCCAUGCCGCGUGAGUGAUGACGGCCUUAGGGUUGUAAAGCUCUUUUCUCCGGGACGAUAAUGACGGUACCGGAGGAAUAAGCCCCGGCUAACUUCGUGCCAGCAGCCGCGGUAAUACGAAGGGGGCUAGCGUUGCUCGGAAUCACUGGGCGUAAAGGGCGCGUAGGCGGCUGAUUUAGUCGAGGGUGAAAGCCUGUGGCUCAACCACAGAAUUGCCUUCGAUACUGGUUGGCUUGAGACCGGAAGAGGACAGCGGAACUGCGAGUGUAGAGGUGAAAUUCGUAGAUAUUCGCAAGAACACCAGUGGCGAAGGCGGCUGUCUGGUCCGGUUCUGACGCUGAGGCGCGAAAGCGUGGGGAGCAAA
rnacentral:rRNA from 1 species